rnacentral:lncRNA from 1 species
CCUGUGGCAUGCAUGAUUUAAUUUGCUGGUUUCUUUGACCUCGGGGUUGUUUUGAUGUUGGGAUGUGGCUUGUGUGGCGGUCAAUAACGAAAUUGCUUAAUUUGGGGAUUCAAUCAUCAUUUCCUUGCUUUGGGCCGAUGGGAUGAGAUACAAUCAGUUAGUAGGAGAUAAACUCCCGAAAUCACUGGCGGAUAUUGUAUACAUAAAUAAAGAUACUAACUAAGAAGAAAGCAUCGUUCCAAAAAUUUAACCAAAAAGAGAGAAGUUAAGAGGUAGGCGAUGAUGAUG